rnacentral:lncRNA from 1 species
UGUUCUGUUAUAUUGUUUUAAGUUUAUUUAUCUAGAGUUGGCUUUAUUUUAGCCUCAGUCUUGGAGCAAAAACCAGGGACAUUGCCAGAGCAAACAAGAACAGAAGUACAAAUGGAGGACUGGUCAAAAGGUAUAACCCAUGUUAAUACUGAACGGGACUCUACGGGAAUAAAUAAAAGUACACAGCUAGAUGAACAACUAGCCAUGAAUUCUGAGGGAAGCUUGAUUCAGAAAUCCAGUGACUUAGUUAAUGAAGUCACAAAUGAGGACACUGAGCUACUGGGGCAGAGACCACGGAGUUUUCAGGUCGUUGGUUAUAAUCCAGAAGAUGAGACACUUGAAAAGUGCAACAUUAUGGAGCAUAGAAGUAAUGAUCUACAUUAUGAAUGUAUGAUUCCUUAUCAAGUUACUUCAGAUGUAAAUAAAGAGACAGUAGCAUUUCUUCUAAAAGAAUUGGAUAUGCUCAGAACAAGCAAUAAAAAGCUUCAAGAAAAACUGACUAAAGAAAAUAAAGAACAGAAAAAAUUAACGCUUAAGCUGGAACUCCAAGAAAAAACAAUGGAAGCUAAAAUUGCUGAAAAGACUUCAGCUCUAGUUGAAGAAGUGUAUUUUGCACAGAGGGAACGUGAUGAAGCUGUUAUGUCUAGACUGCAGUUAGCCAUCAAGGAGAGAGAUGAAGCAAUUGCACGAGCCAAGCAUAUGGAAAUGUCUCUAAAAUGUAUGUACGCAAUUAAUGUAAAAUGUGAUAUAGGAGCAUUU